AUUGAACGCUGGCAGCAUGCUUUACACAUGCAAGUCGAACGGUAACAGGGAGCUUGCUCCGCUGACGAGUGGCGAACGGGUGAGUAAUGCGUCGGAACGUGCCGAGUAGUGGGGGAUAACGCAUCGAAAGGUGUGCUAAUACCGCAUACGUACUGAGGUAGAAAGUGGGGGACCUUCGGGCCUCACGCUAUUCGAGCGGCCGACGUCUGAUUAGCUAGCUGGUGAGGUAAAGGCUCACCAAGGCGACGAUCAGUAGCGGGUCUGAGAGGAUGAGCCGCCACACUGGGACUGAGACACGGCCCAGACUCCUACGGGAGGCAGCAGUGGGGAAUUUUGGACAAUGGGCGCAAGCCUGAUCCAGCCAUGCCGCGUGUCUGAAGAAGGCCUUCGGGUUGUAAAGGACUUUUGUCCGGGAGCAAAUGCCUGGUGUUAAUAGCACUGGGAGCUGAGAGUACCGGAAGAAUAAGCACCGGCUAACUACGUGCCAGCCGCCGCUGUAAUAC
rnacentral:rRNA from 1 species